UAGUCAGUUGCUGUGCUGUGCCUCUCCCUGUCAUGGAUUAUAGUCAGUACCUGGGACGCUGUCUGAUAUUUUUCUUCUUGGCCCUAUUAUUUGAUGUUGUUGGCCUAAUCCUCUUUUUUAUGGGGAUUUUUGCUCCCCUAUCUUUCUGGGAUUUCUUUGUCCUCUCUGGACCAUUGAUCAUGUUCCUCAGCCUGGUAUUCUGGAUAUUUUGGUACUUGGGGAACCUCACCGUCUCCCAUGAAGAGCUGCUUCUUCCAAACUGAAGUGCAUUUUGUUACUAAAAUGCCACUGGUUUCCACUGAAAGCAUUUGCAAGUACUCUGGACCUUUUGGAGCUGAUGGAUUUGCUUUGGUGUAUAAUGAAAAAAUUUCCAGUGCAAUCAAAAUAGAGGCCUCCCAUUUUCUCCAAUGGAAAGGCAAAUGUUGUUCUGUGAAACAGCAAAAAAACUGAGAUUUUCCAUCUUCUCCUCUGAACUUGAUUUUGGCUGGAUCUGAAAUGUCACUAUGUGUGAACUGUAUCUUAUGGACUCCUUGCCUUUGAGAGCUGACGUCAAAGAAGGCUUCAUGAAAGGCUACACUCACCAUCCUGAGUCCUACUGACAAUAUUCUCCAGUUUCAUAAUUUCUUCAGGUUUAAAUAUUUAUUUCAAAGUUUAAUACUGGACAUUAAAUUAUGACCAUAUCCAUGCUGAAGUGCAAUGUAUCAGUAUAGAUAGAUCACUUGGGGAAUACUGUGACCUUAUGAGAAGUGCAAUAGAUUAAUAGCCUACAUUGCUGAUAGUAGAUCUACAGAAAGGUGUCUUUUCAAAUUUUUUAAAAUGUCUUUUCAAAUGACAUUCUUCAAAUGUGUUUUGUGGGGCCAUGACAUAUAUAGAGAGUCUUGGAGUCUGGAAACUUCUGCUGUUGCUAGAUAUGCCAUCACAACAGAAACCAGCCUAACAGGAUUUGUAUUCUCUGUGACUGUGUGUUACCAUGUGAUGUCAGCCAACAAUAGAUUUAGAACAGGAAAAAGACUUAACCUUUCUCAAUAGCUCUGAAUGAGUCUGGAAUUUCUCUACAGUUGUAUGAUAAUUAAAGAGGAAUGCAUUACUUUGACUGCAGUUACACACGUAUGCCGAUCACAUAAAUUUGUGAUCUGGCGUAAGCCUAAAAACAGAAUGUAAUGUAAACCACAACCGGUUUUUCAACUCAGGGACACACCCUAUAACUUUCAUGCAAUGACAUUUAAGAUUCGCUGUGGUAAUCUGCUGUAUGUACCUGAAUCUAAAUGGGCAAUGAGUUAAACGUAGACAACAAGCUAUUGAAACCAAGCUACUGAACCUCCAUAGCCAAAUCGCUAUUGAAAACAUGCGGAAUAGAUCAGAUAACAUUUUAUUUCUACAUUCCACGUGUUCUCCACAUGGCAAGAUAUUAAACUCUCUCAUUUCAUCCAUAAUCUGAAAUGAAAAAAAGAAGCAGUCCCAGAAGGAAACUUUAGUGAACUUGGUGAACCGAAACAUUAAAAUAAUUCAAGAUUUGAAUGGCUGAUAAUGUAAACGUAAGGGUAACUGAGGAUCCUUCAGAGUCACAAAGGUGGUUUUCCUUGAAGCAAAUUAAAAACAAAGGAGAGCAUACGCUUACAUGUAAAAACUGUUGUUUUGCAUGAUACAAACAUCAGCACAUUCACAGCGACAUCCCAGUCCUCUUAUGUUGAGAAACUGUCACAAAUUGUAUGUGAUAUCACUAUUCUCACUAUUGAGAUCAGGCAUUGUUUGUAAAUUUAAUUAGCACUCUCAAUUUUGUAUAUGCACUCUCAGAAAUUCAUACAAAGAAGCGUUAGAGUUUCCUUAAUGAUGUAUGAUUUUGGCUGAUAUAAUGUGCUGACAAUAUAAGUUAGGUAUUUGUCUUCCUAAAUGAAAUGCGAUGAACAGUAUUGUGGGAACUCACUCACACCUGUGAGAUGAAGGUUCCUGUUUGUGUCUUCAAACAUUCAAUACUGACACCUCUAAAAAAGUCAGCGUCACACACUGCAGCGGCAGAACUUGACACCGCUUUGCACUGCCGGUAACAAAGAUGGUGAGAUAAGGUUCUACCUGUUGUCAAACAGAACACUCCCUCAGGCCUCUCCCUGUUUUUUCUUUUUUGUUUUGUUUUGUUUGCAGCCAGUUAUUGCUUCCAUGAUUAUGUUCUCUCAAUCAGAAUGUUUCAAUUCCAGAUGAUGAACACAGGUCUAACACCCUAUAAUGUUUUAAACCAAAUGGCGACUGUUGAUGUUACAUUAAGUUCUUAUCUAAUAUUAAGGUCGAAAUACUCAUAAUGUACCUGUGGUUGCUGAACACACAUCCAAAUAACUUACAAUGCUGUAAAAAAAAACAACAACAGAGGAUACACACACACUGCCAUUAAUGCUCCCAAACAUGUUUUAUCAUUUUAUCAUUUAGUUUUGAUCCAUCCAGGUCUGAUCAAGAACAAAAUGAUAAAACAUAUUUGAGCAUGAUUGGCACUGCUGAUAUACACAUAGUGCCAAUUUGAGUUGAAAUCUAUAUUCUGUUAUAUUGUGGCAUCGUACUCAGAAAUUCAGAAUACUCUGUAUAUCAGGACUGUUUUAUUUUUUGAUUUUUUUCAUAUUUCUCAUUCUUUCUUAAAAUUUGUAAUAUCUCUAGGGUGCAUCGAACAAAACAAACAAAAAAUAGUUUACGAGAUACAUUUUUUUAAAAUGUGGCUUUUCCAACAAUUGCACAUUGUGAAUGAUUGCCAAAAAAAUAAAUGUGGUGUCAGAAAAAUCAUCAAAGGAACUGUUCAUGAUUAUUGUUAGCAGUAAAACAUGUCCUUCCUUGUCUGUUUUUUUUUUGUGAGUUCUGUGAAUAUUGUGCGUAUGAGCUUCUUUAAAAUGUAAAACUAAGUGUUAAGGAUGUCAUAAAAUUGAAUUUCACUCAGCAA